rnacentral:lncRNA from 1 species
CCACCAUGUCUCUGGUAUGGACCUACCAUGAAUCCCUUCACAACACCAGCACCACAGAUUGCACCAAGGCAUUGCAUCACUAUGUAGAAAACAGCCCUGGUUAAGGACAGUUUCCUUGCCAAGAACAAUCCAAAGGUCACGGCUGGGUUGAUGUGUCCUCCUGUUUCAUGUCAAAACACAAUAUAGUUCAGUUUUAGAGAAAAAUAAAUAAACCCCAAAGGUCCAAAAGCCUAACCAAAGAAGGAAAAGACUCCAUAUUUUUGUAAUUUAGACAGUGAAAAGUACACCGUUAACCAUGUUUUCAACCUCUAAAACAGGGAAAAGCUGAUCUUUUUUGUAAGUAAAUUCAAGAAUCCAUUAGAUUACUUGACUUUAGUAUGAUGUAUAAAGCAAGUAACUAAAAGCUCAAAUAUGGUGAGCAAAAGAGAAUAAACAAGGAGGGUUAGCCACAAAAGGCCAUACUUUAAGUAUAAAGAGGUAAAAAUACAAGCUUGAGCAAGGCAAAUGACUAAGAACCAACAAUAAUGGAAGGGAAAACUCCACUUUUUGCAAUUUAGACACAGCAAGUAAACCAAUUACAUGUUUUGAACAUAUAAAACAGGGAAAAACUGAAUCUUUUUUAUAAAUACUCAAGAAUCCAUUAAAUUAGUUGACAAAAAUAUGAUGCAAGUACAAAGUAACCACAAGCUAAAAUAUGGCGACCAAAAGAGAGGAAAACAAAGAAAAUCAGCCACAAAGGGUCACAUGUUUACAGUAUAAAAAGUACAGGUGAAAACUGAAAUUUUUUCUUAGUACUCAAGAAUCCAUAAAAUUACUUGACAAAGUAUGAUAUACAAAAUAAGUGACCACAAGCUCAAAUAUGGCGCCACAAAAGGCUAUACUUUUAGUACAAUAAGAGUAAAGGAACAAACUUGAGCAAGAUUAAAGACUUCAUUUUCUGUAAUUGAGACGGAUAAAGUUAACCAAUAAACAUGUUUUCAACUUCUAAAACAGGAAAAGACUGAAUCUUUUUUUAUAAAUACUCAAGAAUCCACUCAAUUAGUUGACAAAAGUAUGAUGUAAGUACAAAGUAAACCACAAGCUAAAAUAUGGUGAGCAAACGAAAGUAAACAAAGAAAAUUAGCCACAAAAUGUUAUACCUAUAUAUUAGCAUAAAUGAACAAGCUUUAGCAAGAUAAUGACUAAGAAACAACAAGAAAUGAAAAGGAAAAAAACUAACCUGAGAUACCAGCAGUGCAGUAAACCAAAGCAAAGAUCAUACCACCAAAAGCCCAAGCAACACCUUGAAUACCAACUGAAGAACAUAAACUAUCAGAUCUCUUAAGACCCAUCACAGUCAAGAUAGUGAUGUACAAGAACAAGAAAGUGGCCAUAAAUUCUGCAAUUCCGGCUCUGUAAAAAGACCAAGAUGACAACUCCCCUGG